UACGAAGGGGGCUAGCGUUGCUCGGAUUGACUGGGCGUAAAGGGCGCGUAGGCGGUUCGUACAGUCAGACGUGAAAUUCCUGGGCUCAACCUGGGGGCUGCGUUUGAUACGUGCGGACUUGAGUGCGGAAGAGGUCGUGGAAUUCCCAGUGUAGAGGUGAAAUUCGUAGAUAUUGGGAAGAACACCGGUGGCGAAGGCGGCGACCUGGUCCGAUACUGACGCUGAGGCGCGAAAGCGUGGGGAGCAAACAGG
rnacentral:rRNA from 1 species